rnacentral:lncRNA from 1 species
UGAUUCCAGGUGCCAGCGGCAUCAUCUCUCACACAACUGUUGAACCUGGAAGUUCUGUUAUAGGCACUACUGGUGUGGCCUUAAGCACAACUGUUGCACCUGGAAGUUCCAGUACAGGUAGGCUAACAAGCUGAGAAGAAACCUCCUGUCUAGAAAUAAGAUGGCAAAAAUGUCCUUCGCAUUGCUCUUCUUGUGUAAGAGCAUCACAGUAUAUUUCCCCGUCCUUCUGAAUCCUCACUCUUUCCUCGUUGCUUCUCUUUUUCUUCCAGAAGCCACAACUUCCACGGGAGUCGGUAGAACCACUGUAGUGGGAUGGAAAACAGGAGCUACCACUAGAGGAUCAGCAAACCAAGGAACUGGAAGCACAAUAGGGAUAUCAGGUGGCCAAGUCACUAGCACUCAACUAGGUAAGUAAAGUACCUUUGUUUUCCUGACGGCCCAGAAAAAGAGAUGUUCUCAUUGAGACUCCACCACCACCUCACACUGCACCCUUCCCCCAUCAAAUUUAUAGUGAGAAUGGAGCAUUACAUUUGAAAGCACACAAAAUAACUUUGGAACAGGCCAUCCCUGAAAAUGGUCUUUUUUCAUAAUGAAGGAUUCUGUAGUUGCCUCAUUCUAUUAUAGAUUGCGCCUUUAUUAUAAGAAUAAACUUGAUAUAGUGGUACCGUUCCAUUUUGUUUUAGGUACUACUGGAGUGGUCUCUGGCAACAUGUCACCUAGCAGUUCCAACACAGGGGAGUCAAUGAGGAAACAGAUGCUAUUUUCUUUUCUCGUUGGGGGGCUAACUUGGAAGCAAUGAGACAUUAUAUCUUUUGAUGAUUUUCUGUUAGCCCACACUAAUUUCUUUCUGUUUAUUCUUUGUAUUUAUUUCUUUUUAAACUUCCAUGGAAGGAAGAGUAACCAAUGAAAGUGGAAUUGGCAACCAUAUAUAUAUAUGAAUAUGAAUGAAAUAUAUAUAUAUAUAUAUAUAUAUGAAUGAGAGAAAUAAUGAGAAAUGAGAAAUAUAUAUCUUCUUGUGCCAGUCUCACUCUGUUGCCCAGGCUGGAGUAGAGUGGUGUGAUCUUGACCUACAGCUAAUUCCAUCUCUAGGGUUUAAGCAAUUCUCCUACCUCAGCCCAAGUAGCUGGGAUUAUAGGUGUCCACCACAACAACCAGCUGUUUUUUUUUUUUUUUUUUAAUUUUUAGUAGAGAUGGGUUUUCACCAUGUUGGCCAGGCUGAACGUGAACUCUUGUCCUCAAGUGGUCUGCCUGCCUUGGCCUCCCAAAGUGCUGGGAUAACAGGCGUGAGCUGCCACACCUGGCCAAAGCAUUGGCAACUCUUGAGUUCCUACAAAUCUACAUUGGGUUUUUGUCUUUUCAGAGAUAUUUGUUAAACAAAGCUUAUAUUUAUAAAGUCACAUUAUUUCUCCUGGGUCCCAACCUUAUACUUUAAUUAUAGAAAAAGAGGCUCAGAGUCCAGAAAGAUUCUCCUUUUAACACUCAAGCUAUACUCUGGUACAUACAAAGGCAACAUAAAUACAUAUAGCCAUAUUUAAGGCAGCAGAUAGAAGUUACUCUGGAGGUUUAGAUCUGUCAUGUUUUGGAAUUCAGAUGUUAUAAGUUUAUUGAAUCCAGUUGAAUACCUUUACACAAAUAUUGUUUUCAUUUCUUAAUGUUGUUAGAAGCUACCAGUGGCACAUCUGAGAGACAAAACCCUGGAAGUGAAACAGGUAAACAUGAAAGAGACCCAGACACCUCUGACAUUUAACUGUAAGGAGGCAAAUAAGGCUGGACUAUGAACUAAUGUGUUUACUGUGACUCUGAAUUUAAAAAUGGAGGACACUUCAUCAUGACAGGAUAGCACAAGGAAGGUCUGCUGCUGCUUUCAAGUCAUAGACAGUUAUAUUGGCCAUGCUCUUCUUGGGAUGGUAAAUGCAUCACCAUUUGGGUUCUUUCUCUCUCCCUGCUUUAGGCACCACUGGUAUAGUCUCUGGCACAACAGUUGCAUCUGGAAGUUCCAAUACAGGUAACCUAAUAGGAAUAAAAGGGGCCUCAGUCAGGAAUAUGACUGAGUCCCUCCCCCUAAACAUAUACACUCCUUACCAUACCCUGGAAACACCACCAGAUUGUCUCAGUUAUAGGAUUCUUCUGAAUUUAAUUUUUUCUCCUUUUACUUAGAGGCCACAACUUCUUUGGGCAAUGGUGGAACCACUGAGGCUGGAAGUAAAAUAGGUGGGCACUAGCAAUCAAAUAAUUAUUUUUCUUUUCAUCUUAAAUUAAAUCAAAUGGGCUAUAAUGAACUUAGUGGACAUUUUACUCAGUCACUAAGUACAUAUUACCAGGAAAUUAACAGUUUACUCCCUGUGAAUUUUCCUUUACUUAAAACUUGC